rnacentral:misc_RNA from 1 species
GAAAUGCGAUAAGUAGUGUGAAUUGCAGAAUUCAGUGAAUCAUCGAAUCUUUGAACGCACAUUGCGCCCUUUGGUCUUCCAUGGGGCAUGCCUGUUCGAGCGUCAUUCAACCCUUCAAGCUCCGCUUGGUGUUGGGCGCUUGUCCCGCCCCCGUGCGUGGACUCGCCUUAAAACUAUCGGCGUCGACGUGCCGGCCUUGAGCGCAGCAGAAUAGUCGCUCCGGGGCCGGGCGUGGCGGCUUGCCGUAAAACGACCAUCUAAUUCUUGACCUCGGAUCAGGUAGGGAUACCCGCUGAACUUAA